UCAGGAUGAACGCUGGCGGCGUGCCUAACACAUGCAAGUCGAACGAAGCACUUAGACAGAUCCUUCGGGUGACGUAUUGGUGACUGAGUGGCGGACGGGUGAGUAACGCGUGGGUAACCUGCCCUGUACAGGGGGAUAACAGUUAGAAAUGACUGCUAAUACCGCAUAAGCGCACGAUGGUAGCAUUACCAGGUGUGAAAAAACUCCGGUGGUACAGGAUGGGCCCGCGUCUGAUUAGCUUGUUGGCGGGGUAAGAGCCCACCAAGGCGACGAUCAGUAGCCGGUCUGAGAGGAUGAACGGCCACAUUGGAACUGAGACACGGUCCAAACUCCUACGGGAGGCAGCAGUGGGGAAUAUUGCACAAUGGGGGGAACCCUGAUGCAGCCAACGCCGCGUGAGUGAAGAAGUAUUUCGGUAUGUAAAGCUCUAUCAGCAGGGAAGAUAAUGACGGUACCUGACUAAGAAGCUCCGGCUAAAUACGUGCCAGCCGCCGC
rnacentral:rRNA from 1 species